CAAAUUUUAAUUUCGGUUAGAUUCCUUGGAGCUUUCUAUACAAACUACCUUGGAAACUUUUGAAGCAAAGUUUAGGCCAAUUAUCACGUUUCACGCAGAACCACCAGACGUCUUAAUGAAUGGAAGGGUACAUACCAAUUUAAUCGAAGAAAAAGCAAAGAAUGGAAAAGGCCGUAUACUAUCUGCCUGGUUCAGCAAAGAGUGGACCCAAUCGAAAGGCUAAAGUACCCUCGAUGUAGCCCUGACCGAGCUCUGCAGCUCUUAUCUUUUCAAGAUCUUGUCAAUUUGCUUAUCCAGACGCCCUAGCAUGCAAACUUCGACGCUUGACCGAUUUUACGACCUCGCUAAAUCGUGUAAGCUACUGUACCCGUAAAUUGAGAAGCCUGUUCGCAUACUGUGAUGAAAUUCUACGA